GUCAAGUCGGUUCGAGCAUGUCUCCCCGCAAGAAGCUUUGGCUAAACCUGGGACGGACGUGCAACUUGAGCCUCGGAAACCUGGGAAUGGGCCUCGUCAGUGGCAUAACAGGCGUUGCUUUGCUGGACCUGACUGAGAUCUAUGCGACGAGCAUCGCCAGCUUAUCGUACCUCCUCACCAGUUUGGGCGUCGGCGCUCUCAUCGGUUCCCUUCUUGGAGGCAAGCUGCACGACACGUACAACACGCAAUUGGUGUCAAUCAUUGCACUGGCAGUAACCAGCGUCACGGUGACCAUGAUUCCGCUCAGCGGUAUCCUGCCCCUGGCGCACGGUACCAUGUUCUUGUGUGGACUCAGCGUGGCUGCUUUCCUCACCGGUGCAAACAUAUGGAUAAUGAGGAUGUGGAUGGACAACAGCACCCCGCGCUGCAGGUCUUCCACUUGGCCUUCGGCAUCGGUGGCCUCGUCGGCCCGUUCAUCGCACGACCGUUCCUGUCCAACAACAGCGGGAACACUACCGCCCCGAACAACACCUACGAACUACACCUCACCAAGAACAUCUUUUAUCACCCAGUCGACCUGCUACUUCCAACCAACAGCACCCCUGCCCAAAAUGCCACGGGCGAAUCCCACGUAUACUGCGCGUAUGGCACCGUCGGUGCAUUUUAUGUAAUUCUCACCAUUUCCAUGAUCGUAUUUUACGUCGUAGACAACGUGGACUUCAAACCUGCAACGCCUGAAGGCGAGAGCCCUGCCGGAGCUGAGGGAUCCCGUAACACCGUCCGCUUUACGCGGAUCGUUUUGGCCACAAUGUGCCUUUACAUAGGUAUGGAAGUCGCGUUCGAGAAUACCACGUCACAGAUGGUGGCCUCGUACGCAGUCAAGAGUCGGCUACACUUCUCGAAGUCGUUGGCUGCCCGCCUCGAAUCUGCGUACUACUUUUCCUUCGCCGCCAGCCGCCUCACGGCCAGCCUGGUUACAAUCAAGCUUCCCAUCUUCUGGGUCUUAGUUGCGGCGCAAGUCAUUCUUAUACCCACCGUCGUGACCCUCGCGAUACUGGGUUCAAGCAGCUCCACGGUGCUGUGUAUCUGCACGGCUCUCUUGGGUGUCGGACAAGGGCCGGUCUACGCCGCCAUAAUAGCGUGGACGUCCGGGAACAUCGUUCUGAAUAACAAGAUGAUGGCUCUAGUCGCUGUCACCGACGGCAUAGGGUCAAUGACGGCGCCGGUUGUCGUGGGUCAGUUUCUGGUCAGCGACCCAAACGUGUUCCUUUACGCCUGUCUUUCGACGUCAGUGUUGUGUGCGCUCAUUUUCACGUCCAUGUGUCUCUAUAUACGAAGCGCGGGGCAUCAGAGCGAUGAUAAACAACUGCUAGUCAACGAAGCUGACAGCGAGCACAGUGACCACAGCGACAGACUUCAAUAG